AAUUCUCAACCUUAUCAGUUUAUUUCUGAUAGUGGCUUGGAUGGUGGGGGUGCUGGCCUCGUCAGCUCCCCUUAAAUGCAUUAGCUGGUGCCCUGUGUGGACUUGUCUAUUGGUGUGAUAAUUAUCUACGCCAUGGAUGUCUGCAAUCACACCGCUUCUAACCGUCUGUUAAAUCGGACAAUACAUGACA
rnacentral:misc_RNA from 1 species